GACGAACGCUGGCGGCGUGCCUAAUACAUGCAAGUAGAACGCUGAAGGAGGAGCUUACUUCUCUGGAUGAGUUGCGAACGGGUGAGUAACGCGUAGGUAACCUGCCUGGUAGCGGGGGAUAACUAUUGGAAACGAUAGCUAAUACCGCAUAAUAGUAGAUGUUGCAUGACAUUUGCUUAAAAGGUGCAAUUGCAUCACUACCAGAUGGACCUGCGUUGUAUUAGCUAGUUGGUGGGGUAACGGCUCACCAAGGCGACGAUACAUAGCCGACCUGAGAGGGUGAUCGGCCACACUGGGACUGAGACACGGCCCAGACUCCUACGGGAGGCAGCAGUAGGGAAUCUUCGGCAAUGGACGGAAGUCUGACCGAGCAACGCCGCGUGAGUGAAGAAGGUUUUCGGAUCGUAAAGCUCUGUUGUAAGAGAAGAACGAGUGUGAGAGUGGAAAGUUCACACUGUGACGGUAUCUUACCAGAAAGGGACGGCUAACUACGUG
rnacentral:rRNA from 1 species